AUUGAACGCUGGCGGCAUGCCUUACACAUGCAAGUCGAACGGUAACAGGUCUUCGGAUGCUGACGAGUGGCGAACGGGUGAGUAAUACAUCGGAACGUGCCCGAUCGUGGGGGAUAACGAGGCGAAAGCUUUGCUAAUACCGCAUACGAUCUACGGAUGAAAGCGGGGGAUCUUCGGACCUCGCGCGGACGGAGCGGCCGAUGGCAGAUUAGGUAGUUGGUGGGAUAAAAGCUUACCAAGCCGACGAUCUGUAGCUGGUCUGAGAGGAUGAUCAGCCACACUGGGACUGAGACACGGCCCAGACUCCUACGGGAGGCAGCAGUGGGGAAUUUUGGACAAUGGGCGAAAGCCUGAUCCAGCCAUGCCGCGUGCAGGAUGAAGGCCUUCGGGUUGUAAACUGCUUUUGUACGGAACGAAGAGCCUCUUUCUAAUAAAGAGGGGUCAUGACGGUACCGUAAGAAUAAGCACCGGCUAACUACGUG
rnacentral:rRNA from 1 species